GGUUUGAUUCUGGCUCAGAUUGAACGCUGGCGGGAUGCUUUACACAUGCAAGUCGAACGGCAGCACGGACUUCGGUCUGGUGGCGAGUGGCGAACGGGUGAGUAAUGUAUCGGAACGUGCCUAGUAGCGGGGGAUAACCACGCGAAAGCGUAGCUAAUACCACAUACGCCCUUCGGGGGAAAGCGGGGGACCUUCGGGCCUCGCACUAUUAGAGCGGCCGAUAUCGGAUUAGCUAGUUGGUGGGGUAACGGCUCACCAAGGUGACGAUCCGUAGCUGGUUUGAGAGGACGACCAGCCACACUGGGACUGAGACACGGCCCAGACUCCUACGGGAGGCAGCAGUGGGGAAUUUUGACAAUGGGGAAACCUGAUCCAGCCAUCCCGCGUGUGCUGUGAAGGCCUUCGGGUUGUAAAGCACUUGGCAGGAAGAAACGGCACGGAUAAUACCCCGUGCAACUGACGGUACCUGCAGAAUAAGCACCGGCUAACUACGUGCCAGCAGCCGCGGUAAUACGUAGGGUGCAAGCGUUAAUCGGAAUUACUGGGCGAAGCGUGCGCAGGCGGUUCGAAAGAAAGAUGUGAAAUCCCAGAGCUUAACUUUGGAACUGCAUUUUUAACUACCGAGCUAGAGUGUGUCAGGAGUGAGGUGGAAUUCCGCGUGUAGCAGGAAUGCGUAGAUAUGGAGGAACACCGGAUGGCGAAGGCAGCCUCCUGGGAUACCGACGCCUGCGCACGAGCGUGGGGAGCAAACAGGAUUAGAUACCUUGGUAGUCCACGCCCUCUAAACGAUGUCAACUAGCUGUUGGGGCCUUCGGGCCUUGGUAGCGCAGCUAACGCGAAGUUGACCGCCUGGGGAGUACGGUCGCAAGAUUAAAACUCAAAGGAAUUGACGGGGACCCGCACAAGCGGUGGAUGAUGUGGACUAAUUCGAUGCAACGCGAAAAACCUUUACCUACCCUUGACAUGUCUAAAUCCCGGAAGAGAUUUGGGAGUGCUCGCAAGAGAACCGGAACACAGGUGCUGCAUGGCUGUCGUCAGCUCGUGUCGUGAGAUGCUGGGUUAAGUCCCGCAACGAGCGCAACCCUUGUCAUUAGUUGCUACGAAAGGGCACUCUAAUGAGACUGCCGGUGACAAACCGGAGGAAGGUGGGGAUGACGUCAAGUCCUCAUGGCCCUAUGGGUAGGGCUUCACACGUCAUACAAUGGUCGGGACAGAGGGUCGCCAACCCGCGAGGGGAGCCAAUCCCAGAAACCCGAUCGUAGUCCGGAUCGCAGUCUGCAACUCGACUGCGUGAAGUCGGAAUCGCUAGUAAUCGUGGAUCAGCAUGUCGCGGUGAAUACGUUCCCGGGAGUCUGUACACACCGCCUGUCACACCAUGGAGUGGGUUUUACCAGAAGUAGUUAGCCUAACCGUAAGGAGGGCGAUUACCACGGUAGGAUUCAUGACUGGGGUGAAGUCGUAACAAGGUAG
rnacentral:rRNA from 1 species